GAUGAACGCUGGCGGCGUGCCUAAUACAUGCAAGUCGAGCGAACAGACGAGGAGCUUGCUCCUCUGACGUUAGCGGCGGACGGGUGAGUAACACGUGGAUAACCUACCUAUAAGACUGGGAUAACUUCGGGAAACCGGAGCUAAUACCGGAUAAUAUAUUGAACCGCAUGGUUCAAUAGUGAAAGACGGUUUUGCUGUCACUUAUAGAUGGAUCCGCGCCGCAUUAGCUAGUUGGUAAGGUAACGGCUUACCAAGGCAACGAUGCGUAGCCGACCUGAGAGGGUGAUCGGCCACACUGGGACUGAGACACGGUCCAGACUCCUACGGGAGGCAGCAGUAGGGAAUCUUCCGCAAAGGGCGAAAGCCUGACGGAGCAACGCCGCGUGAGUGAUGAAGGUCUUCGGAUCGUAAAACUCUGUUAUUAGGGAAGAACAAAUGUGUAAGUAACUAUGCACGUCUUGACGGUACCUAAUCAGAAAGCCACGGCUAACUACGUG
rnacentral:rRNA from 1 species